CACACGACCGCGCUCCCCUGGCCCUGAUCCCCCGNUAACCCCCUCCUCUGUGAAGCCCGUCACACCUGUCCCUGCCAGGCCAGCCUCCCAGANUUCGGUGCGGCCACCUCGGAUCCCCGCAAGGGCGAGCGAACAGCGACGCGGGAGACAACCACACGCAAUGCGCGCCCGGCCGGCUGGCUGCCCGCCGGCCGGCCGCCCCCUCCGCGCGUCUCCUCCUCUUUCUCCUCCUCUCCCUCUUUCCCUCGGGAGGGACGCAAAUCCCUGAGGAGCCCUGAGCUGUAAUCAGGCUGCUCUCCCGAGGGAGGCAGGCGAGGGGAGGGAAGCAGGCAGGCAGGCAGCGAAGCAGCGACGCGAACGAAGGGGACAGACUCGCGCGCGCCAGCAGAGGCGGCGGCGGCGGAGCCCGGGCCGGCGGGGCCGCAGCCAUUAAAAGCAGGCGACGGCGGCAGAAGGCGGUGGGUGGGUUGCUGGGAAGGCUGGCUGUGUCCUUUUCCCCCUCUCAGCGGUCGCCCGACAGCCCCCGCUCGAGCUCUCUCUCUGCCGCUUCCUGCCGCUCGCCAGCCCUGCUUGGUGGUGGCCGUCGCGUUGGGUGCGCAUGUGGACAGUGGCAGCAGGCGGCGUGGACGUGGAGGGCGAGCGAGCGAGCGAGCGAGCGAGGGAGCCGUUCUCACAGGCAGGCAGACACGCACGCACCCGGCGGCGGCAGCAACAGCAAAGGAUGCUCCGGUCGUCAUGGCAGCGGCGGCAGCGGCUAGAGUAAGAAGGAUUUUCUAAACUCGUGAGUUAUGAAGGAACUCUGGGGAACUGAUUAAUCCCUCCUCCUGCAAUUGUUGAUUGACUCCCUACAGACUCCAAACCAAAGAAGAAGUUUCAAGGCACAGAAUUCAGCACAUGGCAGAAAAAUAGAGAAUGUCGGUGUCCUUUAGAACCUGAAGAGACAGUUCUAGAAUCUGAAGAGUUUUGUGUCAAAAAUCUAGUAUUGUGCCAUUUGGAAACUAGAACUUCCAUUUUGUCCCCCUUUCUAAGAAUCCUUAAUUUUCUCCUUUAUUUACACAGGAAAGGAAAAGCCAAUGUUGUGUUUAAAAAGUUGAUUUUUGAGAGAGAGAGAGAAAGAAAGCAGCAAGGAAGGAAGUGGCAUCCAUAAAGAAAGCUCUAAUUCACUCUGUUUUCAUUUAUUUUAUUUUAUUUUAUUUUAUUCAAAACAAACAGACCUUUCCCUAUAUACUUGUGCAGUUCAAAUUUAAAAAAAUGCAAAUAAUAAUUUAUGACACAACGAUAAAAGAAAUUGCUCUUUUAAAAUAGCAAACCAGUACAGCAAUAGCCCUACAAAAUUCCCAUAGGUAGCAGUAGAAAUGUAUCAUAAACUCCCCAAACAACCAUCCUGAACACCAAUACUAAAUCAGACUUUAGGUAAAGGAGCAGUUUGGUAAAUCAACAUUGACUGACCAAAAGCCAUGAAAAACAUGGGUUACAUUAUUUCUCCAUAUCUAGAAAGCAUAUGUGUAAGAUAAUAUCCCUAGAGAAUCUGUUUAAAAAUGGCUAGUUUAUAACUGUACAGGAUUGUAAAAAUUCUUCCUUCCUUCCUAGCAGCCCCCACUAAUAAGUACUUUAAAAGAAAAGAAGCAUACACAGAAUAUAGACAGUCAAUUUUCUGUUGUGUUUUCCUAGUUUUUGGGUGUUCUGUACAAACCAUAUUUUUCUGGAGUAAUAUAUAUCAAAGAAAAGGUCACAGCAAGAGGAAGACACAAAUAAUAAAGAAACAUGGAUAAAAAGAAUACA
ensembl:lncRNA